rnacentral:rRNA from 1 species
CCUACGGGUGGCAGCAGUGAGGAAUAUUGGUCAAUGGACGAGAGUCUGAACCAGCCAAGUAGCGUGAAGGAUGACUGCCCUGUGGGUUGUAAACUUCUUUUAUAAAGGAAUAAAACGAGGCACGUGUGCCUGUUUGCAUGUACUUUAUGAAUAAGGAUCGGCUAACUCCGUGCCAGCAGCCGCGGUAAUACGGAGGAUCCGAGCGUUAUCCGGAUUUAUUGGGUUUAAAGGGAGCGUAGAUGGGUUGUUAAGUCAGGUGUGAAAGUUUGCGGCUCAACCGUAAAAUUGCAAUGGAUACUGGCAGUCUUGAGUACAAUAGAGGUACGCGGAAUUCGUGGUGUAGCGGUGAAAUGCUUAGAUAUCACGAAGAACCCCGAUUGCGAAGGCAGCUUACUAAGCUGUGACUGACAUUGAUGCUCGAAAGUGUGGGUAUCAAACAGGAUUAGAUACCCUUGUAGUC